UAAUCUAUUUAAUUUAAAAACUAACUAUAAUAAUAUUCAAGUCUAUCUUAUUAUAUACCUCAUGAGCUAGUGGCACAUUAUCUUCUUUUAUGAAAUACGUAAGGAUGCAUAAAUUAUAAAUAUUGAAGUAGAUAAUCAAUUUGUUCAAUAAGAACUACUUCUUUUACACAGCAAUUGAGGCUUAUUUCAUGAGUGGGCUUUAAUAUUGGAGGUUCUGAGGAUCCAGUCGACUAAACACGAAUCAAAGCUUUCUUUUUAAAAUUCCAAUUUCAUUACAGGCUCUUUUAACUCCCCAUUAUGGCAUUUCAUCUUAAAACUUGAGGGUUUAAGGAGAUUUUUUCCGUCGAGCGAGCAAGUGAGCGUCUCAGCGUCGUGGUCUUCCACCGGCGUCAUCACAAAAUUCGAGUCAUGGUCGUUGGGUUAAGGAGAUUUUUGUCCGUCGAACAAAAAACUUUUCACAUUGUAAGGGAAGGAAAGGGGAUAAGGGUCUUUGAGAAUGGUUAGGGAUUUCAGAAAUCAAUCAUUUUUUUCACAAAUAGGAUGUGGAGUGGUCGAUACAAUGUUUCUGAGAAUUUAGAUGGGAGACGGGGGAGGUCGCGUGGGGGAGGAUUUAAAGUAGUAGCUGGAGGACGUUGUGGAUGGCGCUGAGUAGCAGCAAUAGGAGAGGGCACUUAUUGGUGCUUUCUGAAGGGAAGGAGGGGCUGAGGGAGAGGAUGAAUAGGAUUUUCCUACUAGAGGGGCAUAAGGCGGACAACUAGUAUAGAUGAUGGAGGCGAUCCACGAGGUGUUUAGCAUCAAGUUGGUGCCUCCGCAAUGGGUUACGAAAAAGAAAUAUUUGAUUAAAAAGUGCAAGGCUUUCUAUCUAGUCCAAUGUAUUGCCACUAAGAAUUCAAUGUCCGGGAUGCAUAAUGGAGCUGGGACUGCGAUUGGAGCCGAUUGAUUGCAUCUUGCACGCCGAACCCCUAACGCAACUAGAGAGAGCUGUUAUUCGGGUGGAGAGAAUGAGAUCCAAACCUGCUACUAAACCCGGGUCUACUCAAAUUCAAAAUGGUAUCUCUUAGAGGGAGCGAAACACAAUCGAUUCGGGGGUGGAAAAAAAAGUAGUCUUUGGCCUGGUGUGGAGGAGGAGAGAAGCGGAAAAAAGGGAGAAUAUCUUAUCUCGAGGUCAAAAAUUAACCCAUGACCUAGUUUCUGAAGAUUAUUCGAAGCAGGGAGGAUAUCAGAGAACGCAGAUGGCCAAAUCAAUAGGAUGCAUUAAGAACUUGAGAGCCGAAGGUGAGUUUAUGAAUUUGGCUUUUUGUUUUUUGCAACUAAUGUCGGGAGAGUUUGAAGCUCUUUCGACAGCAUCCUCACUUCAAGAGGUGGGGAUGGUGGGGCGAGGUGUGGGGUUGGUGAUGGAUGCAGAGGAAUUUUUUGAGCUUGAGAUGGAUAGUUGGGGAGAUAGUGUUAAUAUCCUGAAAUUAUUCGGUGUCUCUAUUCGUGCAUGAUAAGGGUAUUAAGCAUGUGAAUGUAUGUAGAAAGGCAUGAUAAAGGGUAUAAAUAGGAAAACAAAAAUAAAGAGAUAUUAACAAGCAUGAGGUGUCAUUGCUUUGGAUGAUUAUGCUCAAAUUAUACAAAUGUACUUACACACGCAUAUAAUUAUAUAUGUAGCUGAACACAACUGAAUCGAUUAAAAGAAAUAGUGGUUAUGAGAAAAUAAAGAAGAAAGUGGAGUACGAGGUGUGGGGGUUUUAGAUUUAAGGGUCAUGAUAAAUAUAUAUAUAUAUAUAUAUAUGGGCGUUAAACCCGAACGAUUUUUGGAGCAAAUUAAGAAGAGGAAAAACGUGAAAUUAGGAAGGAUUUUGAGUGGCGAUGAAGGCCUUCACUUGUGGAGGAAAAAAAAAGCAGUGUGUGAGUGGAUUUUGAUUUUGAUGUGAGGUUGCAACAGAGGAGAAAAAUGAGAUGAGUCAUGAAUUAAGGAAUGAGGAGCUGUGGGAAAAUUAGAAAACGGUGAUGGAAGUGGAAGGGCGCUUAAGAAAACAUGGUGGAAAUGCUUCCACCAUGCCUGCCACUUGUCCAUUUCCUGUGAGUUCUUCUUCCCUAUAAGAAUAGGAAUCAUUUAGCAAAAGAUGAAGAGAAGAAAAGAAAAGAAGAAGAGAAAAAAGCAUUAAGAAAAUAUUAUUUGAGAGAAGAAAAUCUUGAGAAAAUUACCCAAGAGAUUUUUUAGGGAUAUUUUGGCAAAAAAAUAAUAAUAAUAAGAAAGAAUGAAUGAAGGAAUUGUGGGUCAAAUAGUAAAGAAAAUAAGAUUAAAUCAGACCAACCAUGGAGGUAUAAUUUUAAAUUUUUGUAAAUUAUAUAGUUUUAAUUUUAGAAUUAAUGUUCGAAUAUCAAUCAAAAGAGUAUUAUUUGAAGAAUAAAUGUACAUAUAAAAUAAUUUAAAAUUUUACUUAAAUUUAGAAAUUGAAAUGGAGAAAAUAAUUGGGGCUAAAUUUUUGAAUUUAGUACGAUACCGCGCUACGGUUGAGGUAAGAACAAAUGUAUUUUUUUGAAUAAUUUUAAUGUCAUUUCUAGAUGUAUUUAGAAAGUGAAUUCUUUACAAAAAUAGUAAAAAGUGUUGUUUUAACUAAAUGUAGAAGUUUGUGUGUGUGCAUGAAAUUUUUUAGAAAUUAAUGAAUGUUUUCUUGGUUGAUUUCUGUUAAUUGAUGCUUGCUAAUAUGUUUUGAUGUUUUUAGGCUUUGGAUUAAAUCAUCACAUGAGAGAAAAAUGAAAGUUUAGUAAAUUAAGGAUGAAUUGGUUAAAAUAAAAUGUAAAUAACCUAAUUUAGGAAAAAGUAAAUGAAAAUAAAAUAAAUAAAUUGAGUAACUAAAACAAUUAAUAUUGGUACAUCUAAAUAGGAGAAUUAGAAUGGGAUUAAAAUAGGUCUAAAAAUGUAAUAAUACAGAAAUUAAAUAAAGUAGGUUAAAAACCUGUAAAAUGAUUACUUAAAAAGGCAUUUUUCUUGCGUAUGCUUGUUUAAUGUAUGAAUUAAUUAUAAUGUAAUGCAUGUUUACAAUUUAGUUAGUUAAAUAGUAAAAGGGAUAGGUAAGGUUAUGGAAGUACAUAAGAAGGGAAAUGGGGGAAAAUAUAAUAAAGUUAGGAAUGAUUAGGUUUAGGAUAGUUAGAGUGUUGUGUCUAAAAAGGAAAUAAGUCAAGAGUCUAAUAAAACUUAACUCCACCAAGCAAUCUAAUCAAAUUCAGUUUAUCUGAUUUUCGGGAGGGACCCCAAUUGAUUGUUUUAUAUUGAUUGACUUUGAAGAGCUACUAUACUAUGGGUGCAACAAGUUAUUGGUUCCACUACGUGGAACAGUUCAAUGUUUCUGGGAGAAAAGGCUGAACUUGAUUGGGAUUCACAUUUUGGGGCUCAAGGGUGUGGAUCAUUAAGACCAGAGUGACUGUGGGAUGGCACCCGGAGAGAAAGAGUGAUUGCAUGCCGUUACGGGUAAUAUAUAUAAAUUGUUAUUGAUUGCUAUUAGUGUACCCAUUCAUAGAUAGUGGUGUCUGUAUUAUCCUUUUUAUAAAUAGAUGUUAAGCAGCUGCACACGUAGGAUUGGCAAUGUGAACUUAAUUGAAGAUUAAAUAUAAAAUACUUAAUAAAGAAUAAGAGUCACCGAGUCAGAGUUAUUUGUCAGAGUUAGUCUAGGUGUGUGUGUAGAGCUUGCAUGUGAUUGAUUGGGUGUGUAAUUGCAUGGAGAGUUGGGGACCAAAAGACAAGAACAUGUAUGAUAUCAGGAAUUGCAUGUUAUCGAUUGUAGAGUAGGGAUUUUAGGAUAGGGAUCGACUGAUGGAUUGAUUGAUUGAUUGAUUGAUUGUUAUUAUUUUAUUGAUGAAAAAGCUUUCAUAAAAAACCCAAAUUGCAUUUAUAAAGGGUUUUCAUUGAAAAACAUUAAAAUAAAUUUCAAAACAUUAUUGUGGCCUGUUAGUACUGUGUUUCUUAUUAAGUUACUUGGAACUCACCACAAUUCAUAUUUUCCUUUCAAGUUAGGGAACCCUGAUAAAGUCAACAGCCAGUGAAGGCGUGACAAAAGCCCUUCAGCCUUGGGUUUGAAUUUAUUUUGUAAGGGUUACAAUAGUUUAAGUUUAAUUUUCUUAUCUCCAUUGUCUCAUGUGUAUCUGUAAAUUACAUUUGUAAUUUAGUUCAAGUAAAGAGUUACUAAAUGUAGUCCGUUACAUUUAAAUGAAAUUUUCGGGUUGCAUGUUUUGGUGGGAUUGAUUGGCGACUGUUCUCGAGAAUAUGAGAACGAGACAUCAUAGUUGGUAUCAGAGCAAUAUAGUUUAGGAUCAUUCAUUGUACAUAAGACUUAGUA
rnacentral:lncRNA from 1 species